rnacentral:ncRNA from 1 species
GAUUCUCUGGAGAGUCUCUUCAUGAGCGCCGAAGGUGUACGCAUUUACGGUUGUCGCAAAUACGACCGGAUUUGCAAUCUCUCAGGCAAAAGGACAGAGCAGA